rnacentral:lncRNA from 1 species
AGCUGCGUGGGAGGGCAGACACCUGCCCGCCGAGUGUCAGUGUGGGCAAGAGGAAGUGGCGUGACAGGACUGGAAGGGCUCCAGGAGAGAGUAAUUAAAAUGAUUAGCAGAAAGCGGGUCCUUCACAGGAGGCAAAAAAAACCAAACUCCAUCCUUCAGCGGAAAGUGAGAGCUUGGCCGUGACACGCCAAAGGUGUGCACAGUCAGAACACAGACAAUGGUGCCGAAUCUCACAGUACCAGCAGUACAGGGUAGCGCGCCAUCAGUGGUUGACAGAGGCAGAUUUGGAAGAAAUGAAUAGGAACUGCUAUUUUGUGUGGCAGAUAACAACGUGGAUAUCCUUACCCCCAGAGGCUGACGCA